AUUGAACGCUGGCGGCAGGCUUAACACAUGCAAGUCGAGCGAGCGGCGGACGGGUGAGUAAUGUCUGGGAAACUGCCUGAUGGAGGGGGAUAACUACUGGAAACGGUAGCUAAUACCGCAUACCAUCAGAUGUGCCCAGAUGGGAUUAGCUAGUAGGUGGGGUAAUGGCUCCCCUAGGCGACGAUCCCUAGCUGGUCUGAGAGGAUGACCGGCGCCACUGGAACGGAGAGACGGUCCAGACUCCUACGGGAGGCAGCAGUGGGGAAUAUUGCGCAAUGGGGGCAAGCCUGAUGCAGCCAUGCCGCGUGUGGGCAGAAGGCCUUCGGGUUGUAAAGCACUUUCAGCGAGGAGGCGUUAAUCGCAGAAGAAGCACCGGCUAACUCCGUGCCAGCAGCCGCGGUAAUAC
rnacentral:rRNA from 1 species